rnacentral:tRNA from 1 species
GGCAAGAUGGCCGAGCGGUCUAUGGCGUGUGACUCAAGCGCAAGCUUGCCUGUUUUCUGCAGGUUUCUCAUCUCCGAAAGGGGGCGUGGGUUCGAAUCCCACUCUUGUCA